rnacentral:lncRNA from 1 species
CUUCCCCGGGCCGCGCGGCCGGAGCUGGCACGGAGGAACGGCGGCCGCGGCUGCAUCGCGGCCUGGGGACGCCGGCGCUCCGCUGAACUCGGGGUCCGCGAGAGUGCCCGUCGCGCGUGGAUCUGCCUUCCGCGGUGCGGGGCUGCCCGGGGCGUCCGGCGUUCCCCGAGGGCGGGCGUGUCCUCGCGGCGCUGGGCGGGGGACCAGCGCGGGGCCGCAGCCUGUUGGAGCGCGGGGGGCCCCGUGCCCGGGGCGCGGGGAGCCCUGCGGGGGGACGGCGCGGCCGGGCCCCCUGUGCGGAGCAGUUUUCUCGAACUCUCCACCUCCUCGUUGGGGCCCAGCGCUGCCGGGAGACCCCGUCCACAUCUGCCGAAGAAAGGAGUGUCAUGAAAAAGGAGCAGAAAAGAACCGUCACUCUCGGUGAAAGGGGAGUUUUCUUUCCCAGUAGGUGGUUACUUCAUGAUUGGAAAAGAAGCACCUAGGUGGCUGAAGCGGUUAGAUUUUUAUAAUUGUACGGAUGAAGCUGAUAAAAGAAGAUAUGAGAAUACUUUCUCUGGGUCCUAAUAGGCGAUGAGCAAGCCUGAACAGGACAGAUUUGAAAUGAGGGCAGAAAGUUUGAGCUUUUCAAAGCCAAGUGGGACUUUGCACACUUGUUGAGGAUGUUCUUUUCCCAAAAAUGGAAGAAGAAAAAAAUCUCAAAGCAAAAGUGUAAAAAGCGGAAGGGAAUAACAACCAAGUCGACUCCAAGAAUUUCAGCAGUUCAUCGACUCCUUUGGGCAAACACCCCUCACCCGCAUCGUACACGUGGGUGAUGUGAUCGCUAGUGUUGGUUUCCCUUCCUAGGAACGACUUCUUGAUUUGGAUUUUGGAGUGAUUAUUCUUUUUUUUUUUUCCCCCUACAAUGUGUGUUUUGACUCCUCAUGUUAGAUUUACGGAAAGGAAGUAAAUCCUGAAUUCAUGGUAUGUUUGACUAUACCACUGCUUGGUGUGCGAUAUGGAAACAUUAGAGGUUGUAACAUUCCUUGAAGUUGUAUUGGAAGCCGAGCUCUGCCAGGCAGACAGAUAGUGUACGUUUUCUCUUCUUGGCAACCCUGCUUGCUUUGAAUGAACCGAAUGUCAGCUGGAUCUCACAGCAUAUAUGAUUUACAGUCUUUGUUUUUUCGGGGCCUUAAAUGUAUGUUUUAUACUGAGCAGAUGGGAAACACAUUGAGCACUGUGUGUGACCUGUAUGCCUAAGGA